GACGUAGGGCGCGAGCGUUGUCCGGAUUUAUUGGGCGUAAAGAGCUCGUAGGCGGCUUGUCGCGUCGACUGUGAAAACUCGGGGCUCAACUCCGAGCUUGCAGUCGAUACGGGCAGGCUAGAGUUCGGUAGGGGAGACUGGAAUUCCUGGUGUAGCGGUGAAAUGCGCAGAUAUCAGGAGGAACACCGGUGGCGAAGGCGGUGCUCUGGGCCGGAACUGACGCUGAGGAGCGAAAGCGUGGGGAGCAAACAGG
rnacentral:rRNA from 1 species